rnacentral:snRNA from 2 species
GCAAGAGGGAGCUCACUUUGGUCAUAAUAAAAUUGGAAAGACACAAAGAUUAAUACAGCCCCUGCACAAAGGUGACAUGCAAUGUUAUGAAAUCUUCCAUAAAAAA